rnacentral:rRNA from 1 species
GGCGUGCCUUUUGCAUAAUGAGCCUACGAGUUACCGUUGCUAGCGAGGUUAAACACUUCAGGUGUGGAGCCGUAGCGAAAGCGAGUCUGAAUAGGGCGAACAUAGUUAGUUUGAGUAGACGCGAAACCGUGUGAUCUACCCUUGGGCAGGUUGAAGCUUUGUUAACCCAUAGUGGAGGACCGAACCCGUUGACGUUGAAAAGUCUUGGGAUGACCUGAGGGUAGGGGUGAAAGGCCAAUCAAACUCGGAAAUAGCUCGUACUCCCCGAAAUGCAUUUAGGUGCAGCGUAUUAAUAGUUUUAUAGAGGUAGAGCUACUGAUUGGAUGCGGGGGCUUCACCGCCUACCAAUUCCUGACAAACUCCGAAUGCUAUAAAAUGUUUUAAUGCAGUGAGGGCAUGGGUGCUAAGGUCCAUGUCCGAGAGGGAAAGAACCCGGACCAUCAGCUAAGGUCCCCAAAUAUAUACUAAGUUGAAUAAACGAGGUUUGACUGCCUAGACAGCUAGGAUGUUGGCUUGGAAGCAGCCAUUCAUUUAAAGAGUGCGUAACAGCUCACUAGUCGAGCGGUCGAGCAUGGAUAAUAAUCGGGCAUAAGUAUAUUACCGAAGCUAUGGACUCCAAUGGAGUGGUAGGGGAGCAUUCUAUUUGCGCAGAAUGUGGUCUGCGAGGACUGCUGGAGCGGAUAGAAAAGAAAAUGUAGGCAUAAGUAACGAUAAUGCGGGCGAGAAACCCGCACACCGAAAGACUAAGGUUUCCUCAGCUAUGCUAAUCAGCUGAGGGUUAGUCGGGACCUAACGCGAACCCGAACGGGGUAGUGGAUGGACAACGGGUUAAUAUUCCCGUACCUGCUCACACUAAAAGUGACGGAUCUCUGGAGUUGCUGCGUACUGACGGAAUAGUACGUUGAAGCAGUAAUGCGAUAGUACACUAAGGCUACGGCCGCGGUGAUAAUGUAGCGAAGGAGGUUCCAAGAAAAGCGAGUGAAGCAGCCUGUACCGUAAACCGACACAGGUGGUUGGGAUGAGAAUUCUAAGGUGCUCGAGAGAUUCAUGGCUAAGGAACUAGGCAAAAUCGACCUGUAACUUCGGGAGAAAGGUCGCCCAUCUUCGGAUGGGCCGCAGUGAAAAGGUCCAGGCGACUGUUUAUCAAAAACAUAGGGCUUUGCUAAAUCGAAAGAUGAUGUAUAAGGCCUGACACCUGCCCGGUGCUGGAAGGUUAAGAGG